CGAGUCGGCCUGCGCGGAAGAUGUAACGGGGCUAAACCAUGCACCGAAGCUGCGGCAGCGACACUAUGUGUUGUUGGGUAGGGGAGCGUUCUGUAAGCCUGUGAAGGUGUGCUGUGAGGCAUGCUGGAGGUAUCAGAAGUGCGAAUGCUGACAUAAGUAACGAUAAAGCGGGUGAAAAGCCCGCUCGCCGGAAGACCAAGGGUUCCUGUCCAACGUUAAUCGGGGCAGGGUGAGUCGACCCCUAAGGCGAGGCCGAAAGGCGUAGUCGAUGGGAAACAGGUUAAUAUUCCUGUACUUGGUGUUACUGCGAAGGGGGGACGGAGAAGGCUAUGUUGGCCGGGCGACGGUUGUCCCGGUUUAAGCGUGUAGGCUGGUUUUCCAGGCAAAUCCGGAAAACUAAGGCUGAGGCGUGAUGACGAGGCACUACGGUGCUGAAGCAACAAAUGCCCUGCUUCCAGGAAAAGCCUCUAAGCAUCAGGUAACAU
rnacentral:rRNA from 1 species